AGUACAGUCAGCUAAUAUAAGCUUUUGGGCCCAUACCCCAAAAAUGAUGGUUAAAGUCCCUCCUGCACUA
rnacentral:tRNA from 1 species